UCAAGUGACUAAGUGUAUGUGGUGGAUGCCUUGGCGAUCACAGGCGAUGAAGGACGUGACAGCCUGCGAAAAGCUGCGGGGAGUUGGCAAAUAAACUUUGAUCCGCAGAUGUCCGAAUGGGGGAACCCACCUCUUUUGAGGUAUCUCUAGCUGAAUACAUAGGCUAGGGAGGCGAACGGAGUGAACUGAAACAUCUAAGUAACUCCAGGAAAAGAAAUCAACCGAGAUUCCGAAAGUAGCGGCGAGCGAAAUUGGAUCAGCCUAAUGCUCGAUAACAACGGCUAAUACUGGCACAGUCUGGAAAGUCUGGCUAUAGAGGGUGAUAGCCCCGUACAGGAAAUUAGCGUUGUGGUACUAAGUGCAUGAAAAGUAGGGCGGGACACGUGACAUCCUGUCCGAAGAUGGGGGGACCAUCCUCCAAGGCUAAAUACUCGUGAUCGACCGAUAGCGUACCAGUACUGUGAAGGAAAGGCGAAAAGAACCCCGGGAGGGGAGUGAAAUAGAACCUGAAACCGCAUACAUACAAACAGUAGGAGCCUCGUUAAGGGGUGACUGCGUACCUUUUGUAUAAUGGGUCAGCGACUUACGUUUAAUGGCAAGCUUAACCGAUUAGGGGAGGCGUAGCGAAAGCGAGUUCGAAUAGAGCGAUUUGAGUCGUUAGGCGUAGACCCGAAACCAGAUGAUCUAUCCAUGGUCAGGUUGAAGAUGUGGUAACACACAUUGGAGGACCGAACCGACUAGUGUUGCAAAAUUAGCGGAUGAACUGUGGAUAGGGGUGAAAGGCUAAACAAAUCUGGAGAUAGCUGGUUCUCCCCGAAAACUAUUGAGGUAGUGCCUCGUGUAUAACUCCAGGGGGUAGAGCACUGUUAUGGCUAGGGGGACAUGGCGUCUUACCAAACCAUGGCAAACUCCGAAUACUUGGAAGUUGAGCACGGGAGACAGAGCACCGGGUGCUAACGUCCGGACUCAAGAGGGAAACAACCCAGACCGCCGGCUAAGGUCCCUAAUAUUGUCUAAGUGGAAAACGAAGUGGAAAGGCUAAAACAGUCAGGAAGUUGGCUUAGAAGCAGCCAUCCUUUAAAGAAAGCGUAAUAGCUCACUGAUCGAGUCUUUCUGCGCGGAAGAUGUAACGGGGCUAAGACAAUAACCGAAGCCGCGGAUUCACACGUAAGUGUGAGUGGUAGGGGAGCGUUCUGUAAGCCUGCGAAGGUGGCUUGUAAAGGCUGCUGGAGGUAUCAGAAGUGCGAAUGCUGACAUGAGUAACGUUAAAGUGGGUGAAAAGCCCACUCGCCGUAAGCCCAAGGUUUCCUGCUCUACGUUCAUCGGAGCAGGGUGAGUCGGCCCCUAAGGUGAGGCUGAUAAGCGUAACUGAUGGGAACAAGGUUAAUAUUCCUUGACCGCCGUUGAGUGCGAAGGGGGGACGGAGUAUUGAAGAUCAUCCGGGUGUUGGAUAUCCCGGUUUGCGCGCGUAGGAGGCUGAUAGGCAAAUCCGUCAGCGAAUCUCCGAGGCAAAGCAUCGAGACCUUUUAGGUCGAAGUGAUUGGAUGUGCUCCCAGGAAAAGCCUCUAAGCUCCAGCUCAACGGGACCGUACCGCAAACCGACACUGGUGGGCGAGCUGAAUAUGCUCAGGCGCUUGAGAGAACUCAGGAGAAGGAACUCGGCAAAUUGACACCGUAACUUCGGGAUAAGGUGUGCCUUUGUAGUGUGAAGGAAGAAACAUCCGGAGCAUGAAGAGGUCUCAGAGAAUUGGUGGCUGCGACUGUUUACUAAAAACACAGCACUCUGCAAAGACGAAAGUCGACGUAUAGGGUGUGAUGCCUGCCCGGUGCUGGAAGAUUAAUUGAUGGGGUGCAAGCUCCUGAUCGAAGUCCCAGUAAACGGCGGCCGUAACUAUAACGGUCCUAAGGUAGCGAAAUUCCUUGUC
rnacentral:rRNA from 1 species